GAAUGAACGCUAGCGGCAGGCUUAAUACAUGCAAGUCGAGGGGCAGCAGUCCCGCAGCAAUGCGGAGCGUGGCGAACCGGCAAACGGGUGCGGAACACGUACAGAACCUUCCUUCGAGCGGGAAUAGCCCAGAGAAUUUGGAUUAAUACCCCAUAGCAUUACGAAGUGGCAUCACUUUGUAAUUAAAGAUUUAUCACUCGAAGAUGGCUGUGCGGCU
rnacentral:rRNA from 1 species